GGCUAUGCUUUUGGAGUUACGAGAGUGAGUAAAUGUGUUUGCAUUGGAAAUAACAGGGCAUACUUGAAGGUUGUUGCAUGUAGCUGUUAACUUUGAUGGGCUGCAACAAGCACAAAUAUGAAUAGGCAGUCAAGGUACGAUGUGCAUACAUGAAGUCUCUUUCUGUCAGAGCCAUUAGUGUGGAGUACAUUUCUAUUAUGUUUGUUCACCAUAUUAGGUUCUGAUAACUUUUAUUUGAAUGGGGCUGCUUAUCUGUAGUCCCUCUCAUGCCAUCUUUACAAUAUGUGUUGAACAAAAGAGAACAUCUGGUACGUCUGGUAGAAUAGGUAUAGGAUACAAAAGUCCGCGAAACAGCUAGCUUCUGGGAUCAGUUACAGCACACACGCACCAUCGAUAUGAUCUACUCAUCAAUUUGUUUUUCAGAGUGAAUUUCCUACACACCACAAUUGGAUUCUAGCUCACUGGGAUCCAAUAAGGAUGUUUACCUGAAUUUUCCAUAAAUUUAUUAGCACAGUCUUUUUUAGCAUAUAUAAUUAUAGAUAACUCCUGCCAUUUUCAUGAGGGUAUUCUAGGGUACAAAAGCUAUUUUGCAAAAAUUGGAAGAUUCUUUGCAGAAAUUUUGCUUGCAACAUGAGCUGGUACUUUGCUUUGUUCUCUACUGUUCAUUGGAUUGCAGGUUGGCAGACUACUUUCUUGUGUCCCAGUGGCUGGUUGGAUGAAUGGAUGUAGAAACAAAGGAAAGUAAAGGACACUAGAUUGCUCAAUAUUUUUCUUACUAUUUUUUCUCUUCCUUUCCAUCGUUUCUUGUUCUGUAACCUAUUCAGUUGAUGGCGCAC